rnacentral:rRNA from 1 species
GACGAACGCUGGCGGCGUGCUUAACACAUGCAAGUCGAACGAGAGGCGAACGGGGGAGUAAUACGGGAGAACCUGCCCUCCUUUUUGGGAUAAGCGUUGGAAACGGGGUCUAAUACCGAAUAAAGGGGGAUGGGCGCGGGGCCUAGCAGCUUGGUGGUGGGGUGAUGGCCUACCAAGGCGGUGACGGGUAGCCGGGCUGAGAGUAUGACCAGCCACACUGGAACUGAGACACGGUCCAGACUCCUACGGGAUGCAGCAGUGGGGAAUAUUGCGCAAUUGGCGCAAACCUGAUGCAGCCAUGCCGCGUGUGUGAAGAAGGCCUUCGGGUUGUAAAGCACUUUCAGCGAGGAGGCGUUACUCGCAGAAGAAGCACCGGCUAACUCCGUGCCAGCAGCCGCGGUAAUAC